rnacentral:rRNA from 1 species
GACGUAGGGCGCGAGCGUUGUCCGGAUUUAUUGGGCGUAAAGAGCUCGUAGGCGGCUUGUUGCGUCAGCUGUGAAAACCCGCAGCUCAACUGUGGGCUUGCAGCUGAUACGGGCAGGCUUGAGUUCGGUAGGGGAGACUGGAAUUCCUGGUGUAGCGGUGAAAUGCGCAGAUAUCAGGAGGAACACCGGUGGCGAAGGCGGGUCUCUGGGCCUGUCCUGACGCUGAGGCGCGAAAGCUAGGGGAGCGAACGGG